UCUAUCUCCCAGUCUUCCAGCUGCCUAGUGGUAGCAGGUGGUGCUCUGAUUCCCCAAGCAGGAUAGUGUUAGUGGGAUCCAGCUGGGAGCCGAGCCUCCACCGCAGGAGGCAUCGAUGAGGCUGAAUGAGGUGGUAGGAGCUAGGGCUAGUUGGCACUCUGCUUCCUCCCAUCUGUUUUCCUGGUGUCAGAGGGGUGCAGCGGGGAGAGAAAGCUGCCUACCCUGCAGCAACAAAGAGCAUGGCGUGCCGAGCUUUGCCAUGUCCACACCCGGGAUCCGAACCAGUGAACCCCGGGCUGCCAAGAAGCAGAACUUGUGCACUUACCCGCAGCACCACUGGGCCGGCCCCUUGAGGUCAUUUGACUUGAGAGUCCACAACUCAGUUUCCUUCAAGACUCAGGAUUUCAGAUGGUAGUGGAAAGAUGAACUCCAUGAACCAUUCCUGCAAAUGGCUGAAAGCUGGCACAAGAAAGACCAAGUUUGCAAAACAAUUUUGUUGACAUCAUGGCAUUGAAGUCUUUCAAAAAUUUUGUGAAAGAAGAACAAUUACCCCCAGUUCGGAAAUUGGAAAACUGAACCUCAGAGAGGCUAAGUCCUGCGUCCAGAGCAAGAAUGUGAAUUCAUACCCAUAUCUGACACUCUUUCAACUGAACUACAGUUUGCUCAGUGAACAGUCUGGAGUUUAGUGUUUGGAGAUAAGGAUGAUAGGGAGAAGUGAGUGGAGGAAGUGACUCUUCAGCUGGGUAUCUUCAGAUUCAGUUGCCUCUUUGAAAUGCCAUUUUGCCUCUUUAAAAAGAAUAAUAAGGAACAGCUAUCUUCUCACCUGUGUUGCUGCAUUCAACCUGAUGUGACACAAUGUGUCAUGUGGCCUCCUCAAAAUCCGCUGCAAAAUUCACUGGAUGCUCAUGAAAGAAGCAGAGUGAAAAAGACAAAUUAGGGGGCUGGCCCCGUGGCCGAGUGGUUAAGUUCGCACGCUCUGCUGCAGGUGGCCCAGUGUUUCGUUGGUUCGAAUCCUGGGCGCGGACAUGGCA
rnacentral:lncRNA from 1 species